UCAAGCGAACAAGGGCGCAGGGCGAAUGCCUUGGCACUGGGAGCCGAUGAAAGACGUGGUAAGCUGCGAAAAGCUUCGGGGAGGAGCAAACAUCCAUUGAUCCGGAGAUAUCUGAAUGGGGCAACCCAAUGGAGUUCAUACUCCAUUAUCCAAUGCUGAAUCCAUAGGUAUUGGAAGGGAACCGCCUGAACUGAAACAUCUAAGUAGGGCGAGGAAGAGACAUCAAACGAGAUUCCGUAAGUAGUGGCGAGCGAACGCGGAAGAGGGCAAACCGGGAGUAGAAAUACUUCCGGGGUACGGACUGCUUUUAGGACUUAAUCUGUUAACCGAACGGCAUGGGAAGGCCGGUCAGAGAGUGUGAGAACCACGUAGGUGAAAACGGAGAGAGCUGCGCAGGAUCCAGAGUACGGCCAGACACGUGAAACCUGGUCGGAAUAUGGGGGGACCACCCUCCAACCCUAAAUACUACCCAGUGACCGAUAGCGUAUAGUACUGUGAAGGAAAGGUGAAAAGCACCCCGGGAGGGGAGUGAAAAAGAACCUGAAACCCUGUGCCUACAAGCACCUAGAGCACGUCAAUGUGUGAUAGGGUACUUUUUGUAGAACGGUCCGGCGAGCGAUUGUAUGCAGCAAGGUUAAGGACUUAAGGUCUGGAGCCGAAGCGAAAGCGAGUUUGAAAAGGGCGUUAAGUUGCAUACAAUGGGCCCGAAACCGGGUGACCUACCCAUGGUCAGGUUGAAGUGGAAGUAAAAUUCCAUGGAGGACCGAACCGACCUCCGUUGAAAAGGCGGCGGAUGAACUGUGGGUAGCGGAGAAAUUCCAAUCGAACCCGGAGAUAGCUGGUUCUCCCCGAAAUAGUUUUAGGACUAGCCUCAAGUUAGAUACCUGGAGGUAAAGCACUGAAUAGCCUAGCGGCCGAGAGGUUAGCGAAGCUUAUCAAACUCAGAAUGCCAGAGUAUUGAUGCUUGGGAGUCAGACAGUGUCAGAUAAAUGUCAUUGUCAAAAGGGAAACAGCCCAGAUCUACAGCUAAGGUCCCAAAGUCAGGUUAAGUGGAAAACGAUGUGAAGAUACGCAGACAACCAGGAUGUUGGCUCAGAAGCAGCCACUCAUUCAAAGAGUGCGUAAUAGCUCACUGGUCGAGCGUCUUUGCGCGGAGAAUUUAACGGGGCUAAACCUGACACCGAAGCUUAGGCAAUACAGUAAUGUAUUGGGUAGGGGAGCGUUGUAUACGCGGUGAAACAGUAGCGCAAGCGGCUGUGGAGUGUAUAGAAGUGAGAAUGCCGGAAUGAGUAGCGCGAAUGCAGUGAGAAUCUGCAUGGCCGAAAGCCUCAGGUUUCUGGAGGAAGGUUCGUCCGCUCCAGGUUAGUCGGGAGCUAAGGUGAGGCCUAACGGCGUAGCCGAUGCACAGACGGUAGAGAUUCCGUCACCACCAAAAGAGUUAAACACAGGGACACAUUUGAAGUCUCGGAGCCGGGUGUUGGUUCCGGUAGCGAUCGAGGGAAAUUAGUACCGAAGUCCGGGAUGGAAGAUGGCGAGAAAAGCUGUGUGUAUUUCUGCGGUGCCCGUACCGCAAACCGACACAGGUAGGUAGGAAGAAGAUUCUAAGGCCAACGGGAGAAGGGUUGUUAAGGAACUCGGCAAAUUGACCCCGUAACUUCGGGAGAAGGGGUGCUCCAGAGAUGGAGCCGCAGAGAAUCGGCCCAAGCAACUGUUUACCAAAAACACAGGUUUGUGCUAAAUCGAAAGAUGACGUAUACGAGCUGACGCCUGCCCGGUGCUGGAAGGUUAAAAGGAGAUGUGCAAGCAUUGAAUUGAAGCCCCAGUGAACGGCGGCCGUAACUAUAACGGUCCUAAGGUAGCGAAAUUCCUUGUCAGGUAAGUUCUGACCCGCAUGAAAGGCGUAAUGAUCUGGGC
rnacentral:rRNA from 1 species